rnacentral:rRNA from 1 species
UUGACGGUACCCUACUAGAAAGGAGCCGCUAACUUCGUGCCAGAAGCGUCGGUAAUACGGGGGCUCCAAGCGUUAUCCGGUGUUAUUGGGCGUAAAGAGUCGUGUAGGUGGUUGGGUAAGUUAUCUUUCAAAUAUCUUUGCUUAACAAAGAGGAGGGGGAUAAUACUGCUCGACUAGAAUUUUCUCAAGGGAGAUCGGAACUGAGGGAGGAGUAGUGAAAUGCGUUGAUACCCUCGGGAACACCAGUGGCGUAGGCGGAUCUCUGGGAGAAGAUUGACACUGAGACACGAAAGCUAGGGGAGCGAAGCAGAUUAGAGACCUGCGUAGUCCUAGCCGUAAACGCAUGCUUGCUAGCUGCAUGAAUCUACCUUCGGGUGGUAUCGUGUGGCGAAGGUAACCCGUUAAGCAAGCCGCCUGGAAAGUACGGCCGCAAGGCUGAAAUUCAAAGGAAUUGGCGGGGAGGCACACAACCAGUGGAACAUGUGGUUUAAUUCGAGACUAACCGAAGAACCUCACCAGGGUUUGACAUGUAGCUGCACGUCUUAAGAAAUUAAGACUCUCUUGAAGGUGCUACACAGGUGCUGCAUGGCUGUCGUCAGCUCGUUCCGUGAGGAGUGCCCUUAAGUGGGACAACGAGCGCAACCCCUAUUACAUGUUAGAAAUGUCAUGUAAGACUGCCUUGCCAUUUGGCGGGGAGGAAGGAGGGGCAGACGUCAAGUCCGCAUGGUCCUUAUGCCCUGGGCUACACACAUGUUACAAUGAGUACGGCAAUGAGUCUGUCGCGAGCACGUAAGUGUAAGCUAAUCUCUUAAAUGUACUCUCAGUGGGGAUUGAGGUCUGCAACUCGACCUCAUGAACACGGAAUUGGUAGUAAUCGCGGGUCAGCUAUACCGCGGUGAUACGUUCUUGCCUCUUGCACACACCGCCCGUCAAACCAGCAAAGUCGAUUGUAUCCGA